rnacentral:misc_RNA from 1 species
CCGAGUUCAUGCCCUCACGGGUAGAUCUCCCACCCUAUGUUAUUAUUACCUCUGUUGCUUUGGCGGGCCGUCAGGCUUCGGUCAGGCUACCGGCUCCGGCUGGUAUGCGCCCGCCAGAGGCCCGACAAAUUCUGAUUGUCAGUGUCGUCUGAGUACUAUAUAAUAGUUA